CAGCCGUAAACUAUGCUCGCUAGGUGUCAGGCAUGGCGCGACCGUGUCUGGUGCCGCAGGGAAGCCGUGAAGCGAGCCACCUGGGAAGUACGGCCGCAAGGCUGAAACUUAAAGGAAUUGGCGGGGGAGCACAACAACGGGUGGAGCCUGCGGUUUAAUUGGACUCAACGCCGGACAACUCACCGGGGACGACAGCAAUAUGUAGGCCAGGCUGAAGACCUUGCCUGAAUCGCUGAGAGGAGGUGCAUGGCGU
rnacentral:rRNA from 1 species